rnacentral:rRNA from 1 species
UGGGGAAUUUUGGACAAUGGGCGCAAGCCUGAUCCAGCCAUGCCGCGUGCGGGAAGAAGGCCUUCGGGUUGUAAACCGCUUUUGUCAGGGAAGAAACGCUCUGGGCUAAUACCCUGGGGUAAUGACGGUACCUGAAGAAUAAGCACCGGCUAACUACGUGCCAGCAGCCGCGGUAAUACGUAGGGUGCAAGCGUUAAUCGGAAUUACUGGGCGUAAAGCGUGCGCAGGCGGUCUUGCAAGACAGGUGUGAAAUCCCCGGGCUUAACCUGGGAACUGCAUUUGUGACUGCAAGGCUAGAGUACGGUAGAGGGGGAUGGAAUUCCGCGUGUAGCAGCGAAAUGCGUAGAUAUGCGGAGGAACACCGAUGGCGAAGGCAAUCCCCUGGACCUGUACUGACGCUCAUGCACGAAAGCGUGGGGAGCAAACAGGAUUAGAUACCCCAGUAGUCCCUGAGCGGGCUGGCAAGGCGCAU